GAGGGUAUAGCUCAAGUGGUAGAGUGCAUGCUUAGCAAGCGCAAGGUCCUGGGUUCAAUCCCCAGCACCUCCU
rnacentral:tRNA from 1 species